rnacentral:rRNA from 1 species
AGACGUAGGGGGCGAGCGUUGUCCGGAAUUACUGGGCGUAAAGAGCACGUAGGCGGAUAUUUAAGUCAGGUGUGAAAGACCGCAGCUCAACUGCGGGGUUGCACCUGAAACUGGGUAUCUUGAGGGCAGGAGAGGGAAGUGGAAUUCCCGGUGUAGCGGUGAAAUGCGUAGAAAUCAGGAGGAACACCAGUGGCGAAGGCGACUUUCUGGACUGACCCUGACGCUGAGGUGCGAAAGCGUGGGUAGCAAACAGGAUUAGAUACCCUGGUAGUCCACGCUGUAAACGAUGAGUGUUAGGUGUAGGGGGCUUGAAGCUUUCUGUGCCGCAGUAAACGCAAUAAACACUCCGCCUGGGGAGUACGGUCGCAAGACUAAA